rnacentral:rRNA from 1 species
AACGAACGCUGGCGGCAUGCCUAACACAUGCAAGUCGAACGAGACCUUCGGGUCUAGUGGCGCACGGGUGCGUAACGCGUGGGAACCUGCCCUUGGGUUCGGAAUAACUCCCCGAAAGGGGUGCUAAUACCGGAUAAUGUCUUCGGACCAAAGAUUUAUCGCCUUUGGAUGGGCCCGCGUUGGAUUAGCUAGUUGGUAGGGUAAAAGCCUACCAAGGCGACGAUCCAUAGCUGGUCUGAGAGGAUGAUCAGCCACACUGGGACUGAGACACGGCCCAGACCCAGACGGGUGGAGCGAGUGGGAAAUAUUGGACAAGGGGCAAAAUCCUGAUCCAGUAUUGCCGGGUGAGAGAUGAAGCCGUUGGGGUUAUAAAUCUUUUUUACCCGGGAUGAUAAUGAGAGUACGGGGAAAAAGAGCCCCGGCUCCCUCCGUC